rnacentral:tRNA from 1 species
GCGCCCGUAGCUCAGCAGGAUAGAGCACGGGAUUCCUAAUCCCGGGGUCGCAGGUUCGAAUCCUGCCGGGCGCGCCA